GAAUUUUGCGCAAUGGGCGGAAGCCUGACGCAGCAACGCCGCGUGGAGGAUGAAGGUCUUUGGAUUGUAAACUCCUGUCAGCAGGGAAAAAGCGACUUGACCCAAUACGUCAAGGAGUUGAUUGUACCUGCAGAGGAAGCCCCGGCUAACUCUGUGCCAGCAGCCGCGGUAAUACAGAGGGGGCAAGCGUUAUUCGGAAUUAUUGGGCGUAAAGGGCGCGUAGGCGGCCUAGCAAGUGGCGGGUGAAAUCCCUCGGCUUAACCGAGGAACUGCCUGCCAGACUGCCUGGCUCGAGACCGGGAGAGGUGAGUGGAAUUCCCAGUGUAGCGGUGAAAUGCGUAGAUAUUGGGAGGAACACCAGUGGCGAAGGCGGCUCACUGGACCGGAACUGACGCUGAGGCGCGAAAGCGUGGGGAGCAAACAGG
rnacentral:rRNA from 1 species